UACAGAGGUCUCAAGCGUUGUUCGGAUUCAUUGGGCGUAAAGGGAGCGUAGGUGGCGGGGUGAGUCAGGUGUGAAAUCUCGGGGCUCAACCCCGAAACUGCACUUGAUACUGCCUUGCUAGAGUACUGGAGAGGAGAUUGGAAUUUACGGUGUAGCAGUGAAAUGCGUAGAUAUCGUAAGGAAGACCAGUGGCGAAGGCGAAUCUCUGGACAGUUACUGACACUGAGGCUCGAAGGCCAGGGGAGCAAACGGG
rnacentral:rRNA from 1 species